CGCUGAACCCCUCCUCUACCCACGCAGCUCCACCACCUGUGCACACUUUAUCUGGGAAUUAAAUGAGAUAAUCGUGUAAGGCUCUUGGCGCAUCAUGAGCACUAGUAAGUGUCAGCUGGUAUCACAUUAGCACAGGUGCUCUUCUCUCUUGCUCUCACAAUCCUGCGCGGCCUCACCCUUUCUCCACAGGCCAGAACAGCUCCCUGCAGAAGCUCCAGAUCGCAUUCCAAGAUUCUGCUUCAGGAUCUCCCCUUGCCGUGGCUUCUGGAACAACCAGCCCCAACAGCCCUCUGGCACUGCAUGAUUUCCCUCUCCUUCCUACAGGAGCCCACAAGACUAUGUCCUUCUGCCUUUCUGUGGUCCUGGUGCCUUUAUCCCGAUCCUCUCUUAAUCCCCUCAACACUGUGAUUGUGCAGACAAACUAGUCUAGAUUCAAGUCCAGCCCCACUAAGGCUGUGUGAUCCAGACAAGUGACUUCAUGUGUUUGGGACUCAAUUUACUGUUCUUUGAAGUGAGGAUGACAGCACUUGUCUCCUAGGGCUGCUGUGAGGGUGAGAUGAGGUCCUGGCACACACCUGGGACAUCCUGGCUACACGGUGUUGACCUGAGAGCUCUCCCUAAUAAAACUCUGCAGGCUAACCUCCCUCUCCAAGAGUACUGCUGAGAACCUGACCUGUGAUGGUAGGAGGGUGAGACAUCUGUCGGCUGAUAGGCAGAUCUUCUGUCUCCUGGUUCCUGCCGUUUCCAUGUUGAGAUGGUCACACAGUAAAGCCCUUACUCCUUAAGUGAGGCCCAAAACGUUCAGUCGUGUAGAAUGUGUGUUGCAUUAUCAUGAGGCUCGUGAAGUGACCAGGGUGAGCCAGCUGCCAAGGAUGAGAGCCAAUCGCC
rnacentral:lncRNA from 1 species